rnacentral:lncRNA from 1 species
UGAUAAUGAUCUUGGAUAAACUAUUUAAUAGACAGAUAGGACGAAGAUCACGUGCAAAGACAUUAGCUUCCUUUUUCAGAAUGAAACUGAUGUAAGCAUGAUUUAGUCUCCCAAUGUCUAAAGUGCCUUUGUGAAAUUCACCAAACAACACCAAAAGAUCAUCACUAACCAAGUUCCAAAAUUUUUUGAAGAAAAUAAAUGUGAAGCCACCAG